UACGUAGGUCGCAAGCGUUGUCCGGAUUUACUGGGCGUAAAGAGCGCGCAGGCGGUCGUUCAAGUCGCGUGUGAAAGCCCCCGGCUCAACUGGGGAGGGUCACGCGAUACUGAUCGACUCGAAGGCAGGAGAGGGUAGUGGAAUUCCCGGUGUAGUGGUGAAAUGCGUAGAUAUCGGGAGGAACACCAGUGGCGAAGGCGACUACCUGGCCUGUUCUUGACGCUGAGGCGCGAAAGCUAGGGGAGCAAACGGG
rnacentral:rRNA from 1 species